CGUAUCUGAGUUCGGCCGCGCUGUAGUUUCUCUUCGCGUGCGCGCUGCAGUUUCCUGUGAAGGGUUGAUGCAGGAGAGAACCAUGGCGGCCACUGAGAUAGCUAGACAAGCGGGAGAAGGUGCACGUGCCGUCCCACUCUCUGGUCAUGUUGGCUUCGACAGCAUGCCGGACCAGCUGGUCAACAAGUCCGUCAACCAUGGCUUCUGCUUCAAUAUCCUCUGCGUGGGCGAGACGGGUUUGGGAAAGUCCACCCUCAUGGACACCCUAUUUAACACCAAAUUUGAGGGUGAACCUACACAGCACAAUCAGCCGGGGGUACAGCUCAAAUCCAACACUUACGAGCUGCAGGAGAGCAACGUUCGCCUCAAGCUCACCGUGGUCAACACCGUCGGCUUUGGAGAUCAGAUCAACAAAGAGGACAGUUACAAAUCUAUUGUGGAGUUUAUCGAUGCUCAGUUUGAAGCGUACCUUCAGGAGGAACUGAAGAUUAAGCGCACCCUACACAGUUAUCAUGAUACACGGAUUCACGCCUGUCUGUAUUUCAUCGCUCCUACUGGACACUCACUAAAGUCCCUUGACCUGGUUACCAUGAAGAAGUUGGACAGUAAGGUGAAUAUCAUCCCCAUCAUUGCCAAAUCAGACGCCAUCUCAAAGAGUGAACUUGCUAAGUUCAAAAUUAAGAUCACAAGUGAGUUGGUGAGCAACGGAGUCCAGAUCUACCAGUUUCCCACGGAUGAUGAGACUGUGGCAGAGAUCAACUCAACCAUGAAUGGUCAUUUGCCUUUUGCAGUGGUGGGAAGCACUGAGGAAGUGAAGAUUGGGAACAAGAUGGUGCGAGCACGCCAGUACCCUUGGGGAACCGUCCAGGUGGAGAAUGAGAAUCACUGUGAUUUCGUGAAACUGAGAGAAAUGCUGAUCAGGGUCAACAUGGAGGACCUGCGGGAACAGACUCACACUCGCCACUAUGAACUGUACCGCCGCUGCAAGCUGGAGGAGAUGGGAUUCAAAGACACAGAUCCUGACAGCAAACCUUUCAGCCUCCAGGAAACGUAUGAGGCCAAGAGGAAUGAGUUCAUGGGUGAACUGCAGAAGAAAGAGGAGGAGAUGAGGCAGAUGUUUGUCCAGAGAGUCAAAGAGAAGGAGGCAGAGUUAAAAGAGGCAGAAAAGGAGCUUCAUGAAAAGUUUGACCGCCUCAAGAAGCUUCACCAGGAUGAAAAGAAGAAACUUGAGGACAAGAAGAAGUCUCUUGAUGAUGAGCUAAACAGCUUCAAGCAGAAGAGGACUGCUGCUGAGCUGCUGCAGGCCCAGACCCAGCAGGCAGGGAGCUCCGCCACACUCAAGAAGGAUAAAGAGAGGAAAAACUGAUUUGCUGCAUUCAUCUGAGUAUUAUAUGGGAGGAAGACAUUUGCACUGACAAGUUCAGGAUUCCUGUAGAAAGUGCUCCCCCUGCCCGCUGUGAAUGAGCUCUUCCCCCCUCAGUGUUCCUGAGCCAUGCUGUUCCCGUUCCCUCCCCCCUCUCUCCCUCUCUCUCCUGUCCCGUCCCGUCCCCCAGUUUCAUGCAUAACACAGCUGAGGAGGGAUAUUAACUGUGAAUGGAAUCCUUUAGAUUGUUUAACUCCUUUUUAAAAAAUUUUUACAUGCGAUUUUUGUUUCUUUUUCUUUGUUUUACUUGCUGUGUUAUGAUGUCAUGAUGGUAUUGCUUUGUUCUGCAUGACUAGUGUUUGAUUCAACUUUAACAUGCGUGGCUACUGUUUUGGGUAUGCAGUAGUUGAGUGCACAGGUUAAAAUGGGACAAAUUCUAUUAGUAGUACCAUCAUUUUUCAUUAGCGUUAUAAUAGGAAGAUGUUCAGCUCAGUGAGAUUUAAGACGUUCACCGUGGAGGAACGUGAUGUUUUGUCUCAUUUUAGCUCAUGCAUGUUAUACAGAUGCUGUCUAGUCAUCUGUAGCCAUACCUCAGUGUUUUGUUUUAAUGAACGUGUUAUUGCUAUGCUUGUAUUAGUUUAGAAAAUCUUUGGCACAUCUCAUCCAAAUGUAUGCACCUUUUUAUAACUCUUUAUUUUGUGAUAUUUUAUUUUUCACAAAAUUAAAAAAAAAAAAAAUUCACUUUCUAAUAAAUAAAUACCAAUUGCAAAGGGAUCAGUAUUUGUAUCCGUAAUAAAGGGCAUUUUUUUUCACAAACCCUUAAACUGGUGGGAAAAUCAUUGUGUAUGAAUAUCAGACAGUUAUUUCUACAUACUAUUAUUUACAUUAUUCAUAAAAGUGUGACUAAAUGCAGUCGGGGAGAUAGUGUUCGAUUUGCUUACUCUGUAUUGAAAAAUCAAUUUAUGUGUUGAUUAUUUGCUCUAGGGAGGAGCUGGACUUUCACCAAUAAAGCAAUUUAUUACAUCUUGAUGCUUAAAUGAGCAUAUAUGAGACUAAUCAUACAUAUUUAUUUUUUAAAGGAUUGGCCUGUAUUCUCAAGUGAAGUGUUUGGACCACAACAAAUCAAAUUAUUUAAACCAUCAUUGUAAGAUACUUGUAUGAGGAAGUGAAGUCUAGGUACAUUUUCUAAGUCACUGCAGGAAGUGACCAAUUUUGAGGUUAACAAGUAGUAAGCGAUAUUUUCAAAGCUACGGUUAAAAGUGAUUCUGUUGGUUCUAUGCUGGAUGACUGGGUUCUGUAUCGUGUCUGGAUGCUGGUCUUUCAACAGGUGGUAUUGAUGUGAUUGAUUGUUUAUCAUCUAUUAACGCUUUUGCUCCCUCCAGUGUCCCUGCUCACUGCCGUGUGUGUAUUUACUUUCCUUUGCAGUAAUCCCUGGCUCUGCACUGAGUAGUAUGGCUUUGAUAAGGGACCAGGCCCAGACUCUUUGGUUAACCGGUACCCCACGGCUAAGGGGAGGCACUGUGGACCAAGCCCUCUGCGUUUCUCAUAAAUCACCUCUUGUGUUUUGAUUUUUGGGCUCUUUCUGCAGCUUCUACUAACAUUGUUGCAUCAAAAUCUAUGCUUAAGGCUGUGCUUUUUUGCAGUGUGUGAUGCUUUAUGUGACUAAUAUGUUUAAAGGGAAUAGUUUAAAUUUAAAAUUUUCAAAAUCUUUAAUCACUUUAGGCCAUUCAAGAUGUAGAAGAAUUUACUUCAUCAGAAAAAAUUUGGAUAAAAUUGAUCACUUGCUCACCGAUGUAGCAGAUGGGACGCAAUAAUCCACUCCAGUUCAUCCGGUAAAGUUUUCACCCACCCGCUUCAGAUAAUCCAGCGAUGAACAACUUAAAGCAAUGCAAAAUUUCUUAAAAUCUGUUCUGAUGAAGGAACAAACUCCUCUACACCAGGGAGAGAAAAUAUUCGGGCAGUGAGCUAUUUCUUUAAAAUAUGUACCUCUUCAGAGAGGCGGGGAUCUGUUUCAUUCCUUAUUAAGUUUUGGAUUAGGUUAAUGUCGACAACGGUUUUAAAUGGAGAUUGCAAGACGAGCUAAUCCGUGCACAUUUAAAAGCAAAUGCACAAUGCAUUUGAAGCAAGGCAGAAGGACGGUGUGUUCCUAUCCGCCCACGUUCAGAAUGCUUCAUGCCUUUGCCUGGCGAAAGAAAAUCUGAGUGGCCAUUUCCAAUUGACUGAUAUAAACCUGUCUUCCCGCUGGUGCUGUAGAGUUUAGUGGCCUCCUGAUACUUUCUCUAAUCUGCGUUUGUCUCCUCUCUUCUUCUAGCUUCUUUUAACUCUGUCUUGGCCACCUGUUGGAAGAGGGGAUUGCAGCUUCCACGAGAACUAAGCGUCCGCUCUUCUUCCUGUCUUUUUCACUCCGUCAGCCUUGUUUGAAUAUUUUAUUAUUAUUUUUUUUCUUUUUUUUAAACUUUCAUGCUGUGCGCCCUGUUGAACACGGCCUUAUGUGGGCUUAACAUGGUAUUUUUCAACAAAUAUUAGCUCUGUUUUCUAAUUAGGGCAUGCUAAGCAGUCCCUCGUUAGUAUUUUUACAGACAUCGUUUGCUGGUGACACCAGAGCCAAAGCUCUAGUAGAAAGGCUGUGAACUUAAAGGAAUGCUUUGGAGUUUUUCAGUUUAGCUUUUUAUGUCUGUGAUAUUGCCUUGCAAUCUCGAUAUGUUCAAUUAAACAAUAAUUUUGUUUCUUUCAUGAACACGUGUUUGUGAAUGAAUCUGCAUGUCCUCAUCAACAUUAACACAGCGUUAACUGUGAGAAGAGAACGGAUACUAACUUAUUUGCAAACACUAUGUAUAAUUUAGGGUGUGAAUCAUGUGGAGUAGGAUUAUAUUUAAUACGACUUGAAAACGUUUUGACGCACUGGCUGUGAAUUUUGAGAAAAUCCAAAGAAAACGGGCCCGAACGUUUCUUUUAAGCAAGAUGUGUUUAAUUGUAAUUUAACGAGAAUCUUUAUUUGAAAGCAUGAGGUCAAUAGAAGCAAAAUCUGAGAGGUUUGUAUUGUAUGUUUUGUAAUGCCCUAUACAUUUCAAGUCUUGAAUAGUCACGGCAAUAGAGUCAUCCUUUAUUUAAAAUAUAAUCUUAAAUAAUAAUGACACGCCUAUUGAAAUACCAUGUAGGUCACAUUCAGUGCCACUUUUUAUAUUCUUUAUCUUCUGUUCUUUUGCAUGCCCUAAACAUAUUUUUGUUUAUAUAUGGAGUUAUUCUUUGCUUAGACACAUGUACACUUCUAUUUUAGUACAUGUAUUUAUUCCAGGUACAGUGUGCGGUUACAUUCAACCCCCAUUUUGCCAAAUAUCGCGUUUAGAUAUAUGAAGGGUUUUCAGUCAUUUAAUUUAAAGUAAGUCAGUUACGAGGUACAGGCAGUCAUGCGUAUGUGCAGUACAUAUAAUUUAUAAGGACCUAUUUUGCGUAUCAAUGUCGGGACAUGUUUUAAUGAUUAAUGACAUUAUUGACAAGUGACUGUUGUCUGUGUGAAACAUUUUGGGUGUCAAGACUGGCCUACAUUUUUCUAGUCAUCUUCCAUAUUUCCCCCUUAAUGUCAAUUACCCCCAACCCUGUAAUACCAGAAAUUUGUGAAAUAUUUAACUGUAGUGAGAUUCCAUGGUGUACAUUUUCAAUAAAACAUUUCAAAACCUGA